GCUUAUACUCGACCGUCAGCGGCACGUGCGAUCGCGCGUUUCGGCGCGCGGUCACCAAGCCCUGACGAGUAGGAGGGUCGCGGCGGUGAGCGCAGAAGGGCUGGCCGCGAGGCCGUCUGGAGCCGCCGUCGGUGCAGAUCUUGGUGGUAGUAGCAAAUACUCCAGCGAGGCCCUGGAGGACUGACGUGGAGAAGGGUUUCGUGUGAACAGCCGUUGCACACGAGUCAGUCGAUCCUAAGCCCUAGGCGAAAGCCGAUGUCGAUGCGGUGUGGAUUUCUUUUUUUUUACGAGAUAAGAUCUAGAGCGAGACAAAUGUUAAUUCGUUCGUUCGUUUUAACUGGUAAUAUCAAGUCGAUCGAACACACCCAUCGGGCGAAAGGGAAUCCGGUUCCUAUUCCGGAACC
rnacentral:rRNA from 1 species